rnacentral:rRNA from 1 species
GACGGAGGAUGCAAGUGUUAUCCGGAAUCACUGGGCGUAAAGCGUCUGUAGGUGGUCAAAUAAGUCAACUGUUAAAUCUUGAGGCUCAACCUCAAAAUCGCAGUCGAAACUAUUCGACUAGAGUAUAGUAGGGGUAAAGGGAAUUUCCAGUGGAGUGGUGAAAUGCGUAGAGAUUGGAAAGAACACCGAUGGCGAAGGCACUUUACUGGGCUAUUACUAACACUGAGAGGCGAAAGCUAGGAUAGCAAAUGGG